AAUCAGCUCUGGUGAAGAUGCUGUGAAGAUGUUGAAAUGACAACAACGGACUUAGACUACUCCAUAAACUGAGCUAAGCAGCGUGGGGCUUGAGAGGCUGAGUCCGACUUUGAAAGAAGUUCUAAUGUGGGGAAAACGCAAUCAGCAUUGCAUGCUACAGAGAAAUCGUGCAUGACAGGAAGAGUUAAUCGAUUUGGUAGCCUUCGUCGUGGUCUUAUUUUAAGAAAUUGCCACAGCCAGCCCAGCCUUCAGCAGCCCCCACCCUGAUCCAUCAGCAGCAUCAAUGUGCAGGCAGGACCCUCCACCAGCAAAAAGACUGUGACUCACUAAAGCCUCAGAUGAUUGUUCAACCUCUUUAGCAAGAAAACACUUUUUAAAAUUAAGCUAAACCACGUUGAAAGAACAAAUGUGAGGCGCAUCAGGCUGCGUUAAAAGUGCCCUGGAUUUACCGACUCUGUUGGAAAAAUGUUUCUCAACGACGCGAAGUCAUCAGGCAAAAUCCUUAGCUCUCCUUUUGCAAAGUAAACAAUCUCCCCACGUAAAUCACACUCACAGCAUAGGGAUUAUGAAGUAUAAAUAGAAUUUCAUGGUGUUUGCAGUGGCUCUGAAAUACCGGUGUACAAAAGUAGGCUGGCACGCAGUGCCCUUCCGUUUAGCAGUUGGAAGUGAGACCAGCAGGGGUGGUAGGUAUUGGAAUCAGGUCUGGACAGCAGAGCUUGUACAGCAGGCGUCUUGUGUUUAGGAUCUGAAACGCAGUGAGCCGAGCCACGCGCCCUGCCCAGGGUGACGCUCACCCUCUGCCGUCACAGGUCUUGUCGCCAGAGAGGGCGCCGCAGCUGCUCACAGUCACCUUCAGGAUGAAGGCGACACUGGCGCGGUUUCACGCGAAGGGCAGGCUGUUGGCUUGGCCCUGGGAAGUGCAGGCCUGGUGUGGCAGCUCCAAUGCCUGGCCAGAAAUGCAACUGCGUUUUGCAUGAAAAGGAUUUUUAUCAAAGCGCAUUCAUGGAACAGUGUUACUCUGAUGGUUGUUUGGCUUCUGAUUUCAGCCUUUUUCAUUCACUUCAAAGACGUUUUUUAAAAAUGUGCCUGGACUUUGUACCCAGAGGCAGACAAGCCGCAGAGACCAGCUCUGCAAGAGGCACCCGCGUGGUGCCAGGCACGUGGAGGUGCUCGGUCCUGUAGCCGUUCCUCUGUGGGAGACGAGGGCAGCUGUGCCGUGGUCUCUAGACUCGGUGCCAGGCUGACCUUCCAUUUCAGACAAGUGUCAGUUUCACCCCUGACGUGUCGUGGGUGGAGGUGACAUCCACGCGCUUGCUGGACUCCACGAGCGCGUCUCUCAGAAGCGUGGGCCCGGCCCCCGCCUUGGUCCAGACGCCCCCCGUUCUUGUUCCCUUCCAUCCUUGCUGGGCGUUCAGCGCCCCUCCUCGCCGUCGCCCGGUCUGGCCUCUGCCCCGGGCCUGCCCUGGCGGGGCUGCUGGCCCAGGCCUUCCUUCCUCGGUACCCGCAUAGCAGUUGGCCCCGUGGGCAGACCCUUCAACUUAGAGGUCCGUCUCGGUUUCCGUGGCAGCGCAGGCCGGUUUCUCCCGCUCCUCCGAAGGUCCUUCCUCCUCCGUGCGACGCGGCCGUGUCUGUCCUCAGCUUCCUCCUGGGUCCGCGCGGUGCUCUGGGCGGCCGCACCUACCUCCAGACGGCAGCCGCCAGGCACGUUCCUGCCGCCCGCGCCCAGGCCGGCUUCUCUGGCGGCAAGGGCUCGAGGUCCUCUCCACACCCAGACCCGUGUUCACAUCCACACCCGGCUGACGUGCAGACGCCUCAAGCUCACGCGUUCACGACGGCGCUCACGGCCCCACCGGGCCCACGCGCUCUCCCCUCGGCGUCCUGGGCCCUCGUCUGCAGCCUCUUCCUCUGGCCCAGAGCUCCCUGCGUACAGUUCCAUUAAAAGGCUUGUCUUUGUUCUCGGUCUUAUCCGUGAGACUCUCUUUUUGUCAUUGUUUCCUUAAAAUGCAGCAUGAUGCCUAUGACAGAAGCAACGGUUAAGUGACCUCAGAGUGUGGGAACGCUGGGGAGUGUCUCAUGCCAGCUGGGUUGGAUUCAGUUUAAAUUGAAGGACCCAGAAGACCCCGUGGACGUGCGAAGUCACGGUUAAGUCCAGUUCGCAAACUCUUUGUAAAGAAAUGGCACCCACGUCUUUUUACGUGUAUUUGGCCUUCGCUUUGAUUGAAGCAUGUGGGGGGACUCUGGUGACUUCAGGGCUUCCAGGUCCCUUUCUGCCAUCAUGUCAGUGACACGUGCUCUGACCUCAAGGCAAGUAGUUGAGCCUGCCACCCAAUCCCGUCACCCACUGUCUUCCAGCUCCACGUGGCACUGGAUAGUUCAUGUUCAUUUACUUAGAGUUGAGUACUAAAUGCAUUCAAGUGUGACCGCUUUGAACGACAGUCUGUGGUCUGGGUCUUCCCUUCUGGAUGUAAACUUCAGGGGAGCCCCGUCCUGUCUGCUUCACUGCUGGGUCUCGGGCACUCAGCUUGGUGCUGAAGCCACAGGCGUGUAGGAGUUCUGGAAAAACGCAGUGAGUGAAUAAUCAAUUGCUGUAUCAGUUAAUAAAAACCACAGGCACCAAGUCACCGAACAUGGGCCCUGGGAGCCCAGUCUGGGCACGGCAGGUCCUUAGACGGCAGGGCUGUUGCCAUGGCAGCCUCCUUUGGCACCUCUGUGCCCGCCGCUGGGUGAGACUUCUCUGACGUCACCUCCUCGAACCCCUGUGACAGCCUCGAGGGUCUGCACUGUAAUUCUCCUCACUUAUGGGGAGGAGCCCGGGGCUCCGGGAGACUAAGGGCCAGCACCAGUCGGCGACAGAACCCAGACAGGUUCCCCAGCCUGCAGGGGCUCUCGGGAGGAUUUCAAGUCUCUCCUGUGGUCGAAGACAGGAUGCUGGGGCUGCCAGGGGCGGAGUGGAGGGGACGGAGGCAGCAGGGACAGGUGGCGGGACAGCUGCCCAGAGGCAGAGGGGCUGAGGCCCUGAGACGACGCGGGGGACAGCUGCGUGACUUGGCCGUCUGUGAGCUGGCCUCCCUCGUGUGUCCUCACUCCUAAGGUCUGGCAGAGGCUUCCCACAGCCACGUCCUCGAGCCUGCGGCUCCUGCAAGAGGCGGGGAGGCCUGAGGUCUGCGCGGCAGGGGUUUGGGCUGUUGGUGGUUAACGAGAGGGUUCUACGUGUGGAGACACGUCAGAGUCCCACCGCCUCCUUCCAUCAUCUCCCGCCUUGGGGACACAAUCCCGUUUUCACUGAGGUUGCAGAGGUAGCAUUUCUAGUCUUACUCCUCUCCCAAGAAACCAAGGCAGAGGUGGGGGGGAGUAUUUUCAAAGAAUUUUGUUGGUAAAUUUUUUGUAAAGCUGCGCUACUCGUUCAGCGACUUCUUUGUCCCUUGGCGACUCACUCCCUCUGCACAGGCAUCUCUGAGAAGGAGCUGAGCCCUGUCCAGGGACCGCGUCAUGUGCUCGCAGCCGUUCAGGUCUUGGGACGGGGGUUGGGGGGAACACAGGUGACAGAGGACAGUUCCUCUCUGCUCUGAGGAGCCCCACCGCCUUGGAGCCCCGGGUCUUUCUGGAAGAAACCUCUGAGGCUCUGCUCCACCUGAGCCGCUCCCGGCCCCUCGACGUGAAUCAGGGCAAAAACUCCUGCCCGCUAAGAGCCCUUCCUGUGACGCGGCUCGCAGGGCACACG
rnacentral:lncRNA from 1 species